UGUCGUCAGCUCGUGUCGUGAGAUGUCGGUUAAGUCCGCUAACGAGCGCAACCCUCCGCUGUGUGUUACAAGUGUCACACGGAACUGCCGGUCAUAAACCGGAGGAAGGUGGGGAUGACGUCAAGUCAGCAUGGCCUUUAUAUCCUGGGCUACACACACGCUACAAUGGGAAGGGACAAUAGGUUGCGAAGCCGCGAGGCGGAGCCAAUCCAGCAAAACUUCCCUCAGUUCAGAUUGCAGGCUGCAACUCGCCUGCAUGAAGUUGGAGUUGCUAGUAAACGCAGGUCAGCCAUACUGCGUUGAAUACGUUCCCGGGGCUU
rnacentral:rRNA from 1 species